rnacentral:lncRNA from 1 species
UGCCUGAGUACGACACAGAGACAGGCCAGACAAAGGAGAAGCAAGAGCCGCAUGCCGCUUGGUCCCAGGAAAGUUUUAUCAUCACUCCACAGGACCUUGCCGCUCGCCAGGGAAGCGAAUGCUCCCAGGGAGAGGGUAGUGGAGAAUCAAACCAGACUCAACAGGCCCACCUUCACGUGGUAAGCAUAUGUCCUCUGUUAGAUCUGUUGCUCAUGUCGGGAAUCUUCUUAAAGCAAGUUUGCUGCACAUAUACUCAUCUCAAAACCAUCUCUUGUUCACACCUUGAUAAACAAGGCCACAGAGGCCAGAGGGGGAUGUCCUAAGUGCUUUCAUUACAUUAUUAAAAAAAUAUCAAGGUAUAGGAUAUGUCCCAGAAAAUCACAACAGGCAGAGCUCAGCACAAUGUCCCUCAUGCAUGUCACAGCAAGGUCCCUGCAGUGGAUAUAAGGUCAAUCUCCCCUAAGCAUGAAGAAGGCAUUUAUCCAAAGGCAAAC